CACGUAGUUAGCCGGGGCUUUCUUCUCAGGUACCGUCAUCGGUCCAGCAGUGAACUGGACCUUAUUCUUCCCUGGCAACAGAGCUUUACGACCCGAAGGCCUUCCUCACUCACGCGGCGUUGCUCCAUCAGGCUUUCGCCCAUUGUGGAAGAUUCCCUACUGCUGCCUCCCGUAGGAGUCUGGGCCGUGUCUCAGUCCCAGUGUGGCCGUUCACCCUCUCAGGUCGGCUACGCAUCGUCGCCUUGGUGAGCCGUUACCUCACCAACUAGCUAAUGCGCCGCAGGCCCAUCCUUUAGUGACAGAUUGCUCCGUCUUUCCCAGCCCCCUCAUGCGAUGAGGCUGCUUAUCCGGUCUUAGCAUCCGUUUCCGAAUGUUAUCCCGGUCUAAAGGGCAGGUUGCCUACGUGUUACUCACCCGUCCGCCGCUAACCUUCUCGGAAGCAAGCUCCCUCGAAGGUCCGCUCGACUUGCAUGUAUUAGGCACGCCGCCAGCGUCG
rnacentral:rRNA from 1 species